rnacentral:rRNA from 1 species
UACGAAGGGGGCUAGCGUUGUUCGGAAUUACUGGGCGUAAAGCGCACGUAGGCGGACUAUUAAGUCAGGGGUGAAAUCCCGGGGCUCAACCCCGGAACUGCCUUUGAUACUGGUAGUCUCGAGUCCGGAAGAGGUGAGUGGAAUUCCGAGUGUAGAGGUGAAAUUCGUAGAUAUUCGGAAGAACACCAGUGGCGAAGGCGACUCGCUGGACAAGUAUUGACGCUGAGGUGCGAAAGCGUGGGGAGCAAACAGG